rnacentral:rRNA from 1 species
GACAGAGGUGCCAAGCGUUAGGCGGAAUCACUGGGCUUAAAGCGUGUGUAGGCGGGCGGGCAAGUACCUUGUGAAAUCCCACGGCUCAACCGUGGAACGGCUGGGUAUACUGCCUGUCUUGAGCCAGCUAGGGGCGACCGGAACAGACGGUGGAGCGGUGAAAUGCGUAGAUAUCGGAAGGAACGCCGGUGGCGAAAGCGGCGUGCUGGACCCCUUCUGACGCUGAGGCGCGAAAGCCAGGGGAGCAAACGGG